AGACACCGCGAGUCUUAUCAUAGGCAUUCUUUUACCUACCGUUGUCUUCACUCCCUUCUCCACUUCCACCACUCAAGAAUAUAUGGCCCAUAAAGGUGAACCCACCAUUUCUAUCUGCGAUCGAUUCCCCUGAUCUUCUGAUUUAAGAGAUAAGCAUGUUCGCAGUUCAUGUUUUUGUAAAUAUAUAUGUAAAGAUAAGUGUAAAUCUUGCAGGUUCAUAUGUGACAAGUGACCCUUCCAAGAUACCAUACCACUGCCGUAAUCCUAAUGAUCCAAAUUGCAUCCCAAGGCGAAUCCCCGUACGGCCUUGAAAUCCUUACAAGCGAUAUUGUAAAAUCCCUUGAGAAUGGAAGUAAAGUUAUGUGCUUAAAAGUCUCGACCGACAGCUAGUAGUAUCUUUAUUAACGUGGUAAUCUGACAUGAGAACACUUUGUGUAAGAAAAAUAAACUAUGAAGUUCUCAUAACAUGUCAACA